GUGCUCACUUCGGCAGCACAUAUACUAAAAUUAGAACGAUACAGAGGUUAGCAUGGCCCUAGCACAAGGAUGACAGGCAAAUUCAUGAAGCAUUCCAUUAAAGA
ensembl:snRNA U6 U6 spliceosomal RNA